CAAUAGCGUAUAUUAAAGUUGUUGCAGUUAAAAAGCUCGUAGUUGGAUUUGUGGUGUACUUUGGCGGCCCGUCACUAUGUGAUGGAGCUUGCUGAAGUCGCCAUCCUUGGGUGGAUCCUGUGUGGCAUUAAGUUGUCGUGCAGGGGAUGCCCAUCGUUUACUGUGAAAAAAUUAGAGUGUUCAAAGCAGGCUUAUGCCGUUGAAUAUAUUAGCAUGGAAUAAUAAGAUAGGACCUUGGUACUAUUUUGUUGGUUUGCGCACCAAGGUAAUGAUUAAUAGGGACAGUUGGGGGUAUUCGUAUUUCAUUGUCAGAGGUGAAAUUCUUGGAUUUUUGAAAGACGAACUACUGCGAAANCANNNACCAAGGAUGUUUUCAUNAA
rnacentral:rRNA from 1 species